AGGGCACCACCAGGAGUGGAGCCUGCGGCUUAAUUUGACUCAACACGGGAAAACUCACCCGGCCCGGACACUGGAAGGAUUGACAGAUUGAGAGCUCUUUCUUGAUUCAGUGGGUGGUGGUGCAUGGCCGUUCUUAGUUGGUGGAGCGAUUUGUCUGGUUAAUUCCGAUAACGAACGAGACUCUAGCCUAUUAAAUAGACUGCGGGGUCGUAAGCCCCCGCAGGACUUCUUAGAGGGACAGGCGGCGAGUAAGCCGCACGAGAGAGAGCAAUAACAGGUCUGUGAUGCCCUUAGAUGUCCGGGGCCGCACGCGCGCUACACUGAAGUGAUCAGCGUGCAUUUGUUCUCGCUCCGUGAGGAGCGAGUAACCCAAGGAACCUUCUUCGUGAUAGGGAUUGGGCAUUGUAAUUAUUGCCCAUGAACGAGGAAUUCCCAGUAAGUGUGAGUCAUCAGCUCACGUUGAUUACGUCCCUGCCCUUUGUACACACCGCCCGUCGCUGCCCGGGACUGAGCCGUUUC
rnacentral:rRNA from 1 species